AACGAACGCUGGCGGCGCGCCUAAUACAUGCAAGUCGAGCGAGAAGACGUAGCAAUACGUUUGUAAAGCGGCGAACGGGCGAGGAAUACAUGGGUAACCUACCCUCGAGUGGGGAAUAAACUAGCCGAAAGGUUAGCUAAUACCGCGUACGCUCCUUGGACUUCGGUUCAGGGAGGAAAGCGAUACCGUGGGUAUCGCGCUCUUGGAUGGGCUCAUGUCCUAUCAGCUUGUUGGUGAGGUAACGGCUCACCAAGGCUUCGACGGGUAGCUGGUCUGAGAGGACGAUCAGCCACACUGGCACUGCGACACGGGCCAGACUCCUACGGGAGGCAGCAGUAAGGAAUAUUGCGCAAUGGGCGAAAGCCUGACGCAGCGACGCCGCGUGGAGGAUGAAGGUCUUCGGAUUGUAAACUCCUGUUGCCCGGGACGAUAGCUCCGACCUAACACGUCGGAGUCUGACGGUACCGGGUGAGGAAGCCCCGGCUAACUCUGUGCCAGCAGCC
rnacentral:rRNA from 1 species